rnacentral:rRNA from 1 species
AGUGAACGCUGGCGGUAGGCCUAACACAUGCAAGUCGAACGGCAGCACAGUAAGAGCUUGCUCUUACGGGUGGCGAGUGGCGGACGGGUGAGGAAUACAUCGGAAUCUACUUUUUCGUGGGGAAUAGCGUAGGGAAACUUACGCUAAUACCGCAUACGACCUACGGGUGAAAGCAGGGGAUCUUCGGACCUUGCGCGAUUGAAUGAGCCGAUGUCGGAUUAGCUAGUUGGCGGGGUAAAGGCCCACCAAGGCGACGAUCCGUAGCUGGUCUGAGAGGAUGAUCAGCCACACUGGAACUGAGACACGGUCCAGACUCCUACGGGAGGCAGCAGUGGGGAAUAUUGGACAAUGGGCGCAAGCCUGAUCCAGCCAUACCGCGUGGGUGAAGAAGGCCUUCGGGUUGUAAAGCCCUUUUGUUGGGAAAGAAAAGCAGCAGGUUAAUACCCCGCUGUUCUGACGGUACCCAAAGAAUAAGCACCGGCUAACUUCGUG